rnacentral:snRNA from 1 species
GUGCUUGUUUCAGCAGUACAUAUAGUAAAACUGGAAUGAUACAGAGAAGAUUAGCAUGGCCCCUGUGCAAGGAUGACAUGCAAAUUUGUGAAGUGUUCCAUAUUUUU